rnacentral:rRNA from 1 species
AUUGAACGCUGGCGGCAGGCCUAACACAUGCAAGUCGAACGAGUGGCGGACGGGUGAGUAAUGUCUGGGAAACUGCCUGAUGGAGGGGGAUAACUACUGGAAAAGGUCGCUAAUACCGCAUACCAUCGGAUGUGCCCAGAUGGGAUUAGCUAGUAGGUGGGGGAACGGCUCACCUAGGACACGAUCCCUAGCUGGUCUGAGAGGAUGACCAGCCACACGGGAACUGAGACACUGUCCAGACUCCUAUGGGAGGCAGCAGCGGGGAAUAUUGCACAAUGGGCGCAAGCCUGAUGCAGCCAUGCCGCGGGUAUGAAGAAGGCCUUCGGGUUGUAAAGUACUUUCAGCGGGGAGGCGUUACCCGCAGAAGAAGCACCGGCUAACUCCGUGCCAGCAGCCGCGGUAAUUC